AAGUCGUAACAAGGUUUCCGUAGGUGAACCUGCGGAAGGAUCAUUACAGAGUUCAUGCCCUUACGGGUAGAUCUCCCACCCUUGAAUACUAUACCUUUGUUGCUUUGGCGGGCCGCCUCGGCUACCGGCUUCGGCUGGUAAGUGCCCGCCAGAGGACCCUAAACUCUGAAUGUUAAUGUCGUCUGAGUACUAUAUAAUAGUUAAAACUUUCAACAACGGAUCUCUUGGUUCUGGCAUCGAUGAAGAACGCAGCGAAAAUGCGAUAAGUAAUGUGAAAUUGCAGAAUUCAGUGAAUCAUCGAAUCUUUGAAACGCACAUUGCGCCCCUUGGUAUUCCGAGGGGCAUGCCUGUUCGAGCGUCAUUAUAACCCUCAAGCCUAGCUUGGUGUUGGGGCCUGCUGUUACCGGCAGCCCUUAAAACUAGUGGCGGUGCCACCUGGCUCUAAGCGUAGUAAUACUUCUCGCUAUAGAGUCCCGGUGGAUGCUUGCCAUCAACCCCUAAUUUUCUAUGGUUGACCUCGGAUCAGGUAGGGAUACCCGCUGAACUUAA
rnacentral:rRNA from 1 species